rnacentral:rRNA from 1 species
GACGAACGCUGGCGGCGUGCUUAACACAUGCAAGUCGAACGGAAAGGCCCUGCUUUUGUGGGGUGCUCGAGUGGCGAACGGGUGAGUAACACGUGAGUAACCUGCCCUUGACUUUGGGAUAACUUCAGGAAACUGGGGCUAAUACCGGAUAGGAGCUCCUGCUGCAUGGUGGGGGUUGGAAAGUUUCGGCGGUUGGGGAUGGACUCGCGGCUUAUCAGCUUGUUGGUGGGGUAGUGGCUUACCAAGGCUUUGACGGGUAGCCGGCCUGAGAGGGUGACCGGCCACAUUGGGACUGAGAUACGGCCCAGACUCCUACGGGAGGCAGCAGUGGGGAAUAUUGCACAAUGGGCGGAAGCCUGAUGCAGCAACGCCGCGUGCGGGAUGACGGCCUUCGGGUUGUAAACCGCUUUCGCCUGUGACGAAGCGUGAGUGACGGUAAUGGGUAAAGAAGCACCGGCUAACUACGUGCCAGCAGCCGCGGUGAUACGUAGGGUGCGAGCGUUGUCCGGAUUUAUUGGGCGUAAAGGGCUCGUAGGUGGUUGAUCGCGUCGGAAGUGUAAUCUUGGGGCUUAACCCUGAGCGUGCUUUCGAUACGGGUUGACUUGAGGAAGGUAGGGGAGAAUGGAAUUCCUGGUGGAGCGGUGGAAUGCGCAGAUAUCAGGAGGAACACCAGUGGCGAAGGCGGUUCUCUGGGCCUUUCCUGACGCUGAGGAGCGAAAGCGUGGGGAGCGAACAGGCUUAGAUACCCUGGUAGUCCACGCUGUAAACGGUGGGUACUAGGUGUGGGGUCCAUUCCACGGGUUCCGUGCCGUAGCUAACGCUUUAAGUACCCCGCCUGGGGAGUACGGCCGCAAGGCUAAAACUCAAAGGAAUUGACGGGGCCCCGCACAAGCGGCGGAGCAUGCGGAUUAAUUCGAUGCAACGCGUAGAACCUUACCUGGGUUUGACAUGGAUCGGGAGUGCUCAGAGAUGGGUGUGCCUCUUUUGGGGUCGGUUCACAGGUGGUGCAUGGCUGUCGUCAGCUCGUGUAGUGAGAUGUUGGGUUAAGUCCCGCAACGAGCGCAACCCUUGUUCACUGUUGCCAGCACGUUAUGGUGGGGACUCAGUGGAGACCGCCGGGGUCAACUCGGAGGAAGGUGGGGAUGACGUCAAGUCAUCGUGCCCCUUAUGUCCAGGGCUUCACGCAUGCUACAAUGGCUGGUACAGAGAGUGGCGAGCCUGUGAGGGUGAGCGAAUCUCGGAAAGCCGGUCUCAGUUCGGAUUGGGGUCUGCAACUCGACCUCAUGAAGUCGGAGUCGCUAGUAAUCGCAGAUCAGCAACGCUGCGGUGAAUACGUUCCCGGG